rnacentral:rRNA from 1 species
AGCGAACGCUGGCGGCAGGCUUAACACAUGCAAGUCGAGCGCCGUAGCAAUACGGAGCGGCAGACGGGUGAGUAACACGUGGGAACGUACCUCUUGGUUCGGAACAACACAGGGAAACUUGUGCUAAUACCGGAUAAGCCCUUACGGGGAAUGAUUUAUCGCCGAGAGAUCGGCCCGCGUCUGAUUAGCUAGUUGGUGAGGUAACGGCUCACCAAGGCGACGAUCAGUAGCNGGUCUGAGAGGAUGAUCAGCCACCACUGGGACGUGAGACACGGCCCACGACUCCUACGGGAGGGCAGCAGUGGGGAAGUAUUGGACAAUGGGCGGCAAGCCU